CAGCUUGCUGGGCGGAUUAGUGGCGAACGGGUGAGUAACACGUGAGCAACCUGCCCCUGACUCUGGGAUAACAGCCGGAAACGGUUGCUAAUACCGGAUACGCAUCAUGGCCGCAUGGUCUGUGGUGGGAAAGAUUUCUCGGUUGGGGAUGGGCUCGCGGCCUAUCAGCUUGUUGGUGAGGUAGUGGCUCACCAAGGCGUCGACGGGUAGCCGGCCUGAGAGGGUGACCGGCCACACUGGGACUGAGACACGGCCCAGACUCCUACGGGAGGCAGCAGUGGGGAAUAUUGCACAAUGGGCGGAAGCCUGAUGCAGCAACGCCGCGUGAGGGACGACGGCCUUCGGGUUGUAAACCUCUUUUAGCAGGGAAGAAGCGAGAGUGACGGUACCUGCAGAAAAAGCGCCGGCUAACUACGUGCCAGCAGCCGCGGUAAUACGUAGGGCGCAAGCGUUAUCCGGAAUUAUUGGGCGUAAAGAGCUCGUAGGCGGUUUGUCGCGUCUGCUGUGAAAUCCCGAGGCUCAACCUCGGGUCUGCAGUGGGUACGGGCAGACUAGAGUGCGGUAGGGGAGAUUGGAAUUCCUGGUGUAGCGGUGGAAUGCGCAGAUAUCAGGAGGAACACCGAUGGCGAAGGCAGAUCUCUGGGCCGUUACUGACGCUGAGGAGCGAAAGGGUGGGGAGCAAACAGGCUUAGAUACCCUGGUAGU
rnacentral:rRNA from 1 species